rnacentral:rRNA from 1 species
UACGAAGGGUGCUAGCGUUGUUCGGAAUUACUGGGCGUAAAGCGUGCGCAGGCGGCUAUUCAAGUCAGGGGUGAAAUCCUGGGGCUUAACCCCAGAACUGCCUUUGAAACUGUAUAGCUAGAGACUCGGAGGGGUUGGCGGAAUUCCUAAUGUAGCGGUGAAAUGCGUAGAUAUUCGGCGGAACACCAGUGGCGAAGGCGACUCACUGGCCCGAUACUGACGCUGAGGCGCGAAAGCGUGGGGAGCAAACAGG